rfam:Ictidomys tridecemlineatus contig054438, whole genome shotgun sequence.
AGAGUUGUGGCUCAGAGGUAGAGUGCUUGCCUACUAUGCAUGAGGCACUGGGUUCGAUCCUCAGCACUA